AGAGUUUGAUCAUGGCUCAGGAUGAACGCUGGCGGCGUGCCUAACACAUGCAAGUCGAGCGAACCCUUCGGGGUGAGCGGCGGACGGGUGAGUAACGCGUGGGUAACCUGCCCUGUACACACGGAUAACAUACCGAAAGGUAUGCUAAUACGAGAUAAUAUAUUUUAGUCGCAUGGCUAAGAUAUCAAAGCUCCGGCGGUACAGGAUGGACCCGCGUCUGAUUAGCUAGUUGGUGAGGUAAUGGCUCACCAAGGCGACGAUCAGUAGCCGACCUGAGAGGGUGAUCGGCCACACUGGAACUGAGACACGGUCCAGACUCCUACGGGAGGCAGCAGUGGGGAAUAUUGCACAAUGGGCGAAAGCCUGAUGCAGCAACGCCGCGUGAGCGAUGAAGGCCUUCGGGUCGUAAAGCUCUGUCCUCAAGGAAGAUAAUGACGGUACUUGAGGAGGAAGCCCCGGCUAACUACGUGCCAGCAGCCGCGGUAAU
rnacentral:rRNA from 1 species